AUCACUUGGCUCUUCGUCGCAGUUACUGUCGUGAUCUUAGCGCCGAGCGCGUUUGGACAAGCUAACAGUACAGCACAAAGUUCCGGGAAUGAUCAGACGACCAUUCUUCAAUCAGUUAGUCAAACGAGGCUAUUGGCCAAUCUACUGGAAAUCUUGGGUGGGGUAGUCAAUAAUUUAGGCGGCGCCGCUCAAACUGUAAAUACUAGAAGUAAUACUCAGGGUAGCGAAACUCCAGGUACAAAUUUGACGAAUGUUAGUCCACCGGCAAAUAACACCCGCAGUGAGCAAGCAUCAACCGAUUACGAUUACUACGAUGACGUCGAGAAACCUCUAUUAAGCGGUUGCUUGAAACUUCUUAGAGCUGCCACCGCAGAUUCAAAUACUAGGGAGCCUGCUCGACUGAGUAAUAUUAUACGCACCUUACGCAAUUUGCUGGGUAGUCUCCUUGGUGAUCAAGGUGGGAACGCUACCCAAAGUUCGGGUUUAUUGGAUCCGGGUGUUGUAGCGGAUCUGGCUGGUGACGG